GACGAACGCUGGCGGCGUGCUUAACACAUGCAAGUCGAACGGAAAGGCCCUGCUUUUGUGGGGUGCUCGAGUGGCGAACGGGUGAGUAACACGUGGGUAACCUGCCCUUGACUUUGGGAUAACUUCAGGAAACUGGGGCUAAUACCGGAUAGGAGCUCCUGCUGCAUGGUGGGGGUUGGAAAGUUUCGGCGGUUGGGGAUGGACUCGCGGCUUAUCAGCUUGUUGGUGGGGUAGUGGCUUACCAAGGCUUUGACGGGUAGCCGGCCUGAGAGGGUGACCGGCCACAUUGGGACUGAGAUACGGCCCAGACUCCUACGGGAGGCAGCAGUGGGGAAUAAUGCACAAUGGGCGGAAGCCUGAUGCAGCAACGCCGCGUGCGGGAUGACGGCCUUCGGGUUGUAAACCGCUUUCGCCUGUGACGAAGCGUGAGUGACGGUAAUGGGUAAAGAAGCACCGGCUAACUACGUG
rnacentral:rRNA from 1 species